rnacentral:tRNA from 1 species
GCCUGAGUAGCUCAGCUGGCAGAGCAGCGCAUUCGUAAUGCGAAGGUCGCAUGUUCGAUUCAUGUCUCAGGCA